GAGCAAUACCGGAUGAAGAGGAGUAUAUGCAAGUGGGGCAGGGGUGGAGUAGCUGCAGAUUAAGUUAAACUGUUAUCUCAACUACGUGUGGUGGUUUGGGCUUGACCAUGGAGCCCUUGGGAAACCACUGUAAAGGUCAAAAUACAUGUUGUCUCUGCACGGCAGAGGAAAGGGAGGUGGGGUGGAUGGAAAGCAGAGGUACCAGAGACAGCUGCAAUGAGGAGGCUGAGAAAUGGUGAACUUCAGUCACAGCCACGGCAAAAAAAAAAAAAAAAAAAAAAAGGCAGAAGAGGUGGGAUUGUGAAGCCUGGGACUUAUCCCAGACACCCCUUCUCUCCUCCCCAUCAGUCACUGUUGGAACAGCACAGUCAAAGCAAGGCAUUUUCAGGGGGCAGCAGAUUUGUCUCAUUGCUGGAAGGCCUCAGCAGCAAGCACAUAUUCAGUUCAGUUGACACACACAAAGCCAAA
rnacentral:lncRNA from 1 species